ensembl:lncRNA
GUGCGUGCGUGUGUACGUGCGUGCGUGCCUUCCAUAAUCUAAAUAAGAAGGCCUGGUAAUAGGCAGCUGGGCACACAUGCUAAGAGGCGUGGUGCAGCGUGCACACAUUAGUGUUUGCUUUGCUUCUGCAGGUUUAUCCAAGAGACACAGAGAUUAAUGUUCUGUUGUGACUGACUAGGUUCACCUGUGUUUUGGCUUUUAUGCGGUAUUUAAAAAACAACAUCAACAGCUCCUUUAAUCCUAAACACCGACUGAACUCUGACCUCAGGCUUUUAAGAUGGUGAAACAGCCAGUCACAGGGCUCCUGGCUGAGAUGUCGCUUAUUGCAACAGAUGUGGCCCAGAAAAUGAUUUGCUCUCUCUAGUAAAUCUGGAAGACACACACACACACACACAUCCUCAAUUCAUUUCCUGUGUUGUGACUCUGAAUACUAGAGGAUGGCACCAUCUCUCCUGUCUGUUUUUCUCUGUCUUCACCUGUAGGGGGAGCAGUGUGUGUUUCGAAACCAUGUUGGAGCCAGAGUUGCUAUUGACAUGUUAACUCGGGAAAAAGUCAGUAGUGGGAAACUGUCAAGGCAGGAGGUUUCUUUAUGACUAUGGUUCCUGAAUGACUUGAUCCAUUUUUAUUCCUGACCGUUUACUAAUGUGGAAAGUAGAUGACGCAUUAUUAACACUGGCCCCCAUGACAGGUGCUGUGUGCGUGCGUGCGUGCGUGCGCGUGUGUUGCCUGGUAGCGACGGGGGCUGGCAGAGAGGGGUACUGUAGGGGUAAAGAACCCUGGGACCCUGCUGGCCAGCCAUAACACAGCGCGGGAACGGUCACGUUCGCAGGGAAAGCCAAGGCCUCCAAGUGUGUUUGUGUCUGUAAGUGAGAGAGACAUGGGAAGAAUACAACUGCAGCAAAUCUGUAAAGACGAUUAAUGGCCCUUAUAUCUUCCAGUGAGUGUUCUGACCAGAUCCGCUAAGCCUGCUAUUCUGUUUUUUUUUUUUUUAUCUCUCGUCAAGACCGCCUGACCGCUCCCGUGAGGUCCCGCCACCGCUACGACAGCCCUACUGCUAGAGUUCAAACCUGUUACAGGGCCGUUUACCUAACGAGUGCAUGGGUCUGCCGUUUGUCUAAGACAUAGCUGAGAUAAGCUUGACUUUGUCAAGGCUGUAAGAUCCACGGUUUAAUUUUACUGUGUCAAUGUUCUGACUCAAGUCCACAAACUUUUAUGAUCUCUACCCGCAAUGGCCAAAAGAGGCCCUGGUCACAUUGACCCUAUCCUACUGCUGUUAUAAAACGAUACAGGGCUGUAUAUAUUACAGCCUUGUCACGUAAUUUUUUUCCCCCAUCCUUGCCUUGACGUCACAUGGUUUGUCUCCCUCCCACUACUUCCUUAAGCUGUACUUGGCUCUACUACUGUUGCUGAUCCAGUGUUUUCACUUUAAUAUAUUUAUGUUGUUCGUGACAUAAAUAUGUUAAUUCUGUAUUUUUUUACACUGUAUAUUGCAUGAAUAGCCUAAUGUUUUUGGUAACAGUACAUACUCUAAUCUGAUGGUCUUUUCACCAGUCAUUUUUGUUUGUCUCGUAAUCUCUCUUUUAAAAGAAAAUUGUAAUUCUAGGCUACUGGAAGUCACCUGCAACGUUAAAAGAAUUUAUGCGGAUGGGAUGUAGUUUGAGCUAAUUACGUUUUGAUUAAAUAUUUUGUCAUGCUUGGGUGCAAAAGCAAACUAGGAUCCACUUGUUUUUCUGACGUUACUCAUCUCUGCGACGAGACAUGUGUGGUCCUACAUACAAGGUUGCCAGAUUUCAUUGUCAGUAAACGAACAUUCUCCUCUGAGGUUACUCAUCUCCGCGACGAGACCUGUGUGGUCCUACAUGCAAGGUUGCCAGAUUUCAUUGUCAGUAAACUAACAUUCUCCCACUGACUCCAGAGCAAAUUAACCCGCCCAAGCCCAUUAAAAGUUGCCCAAUUGGGCGUAGAAAAUACCCCACCUGGUAACACGGCCAAUAUGGAAAAAGUUUCGUCCUACUGUCACAUUUCGUCACAGUGUUUCGCUGGUGUUUUAUCUGUGAGCGCAAAAUUAUAUUUUACCAUGCCAACACACAGAAGCGGUUGUCGCCUUUGAGUUUUGAAUGCUGGGAAAACCCUGUGUAUAUAGAAUCCCAC